UGAUGACGCCCAAUAGACGAGGUCUAUUACCUUCAAAAUGAUAAAAUAUGUAUUGAUUCUAAUCAUAUUCUUGUGCUUGUAUUUUAUUUUCAUAGGGAUGAUAAUUUGGAGGAGGUGAUGGAACAAGGUGAAACUGAAAAUGAAGGAUCUUCACAAAUGAUAGUCAUCAGAUGGCACAUGGCCACCAGAGAACCAGAAGUUGAUUCGUCUUCAGAGGAGGACAAAACCAUCUAGAUGGACAGCGGUGAUGAGGACGACACACCUUAAAUACACAUAAGAUACCAUAAAAUAUUCAACAAAAAAUCUAGAUGCUGGAGGCUGUAUUCUGAGAAGGUGGCAAAAGACUACUCCUACAUCCCAGAGAUCCAAACCAUGAUCGUCAACCAACGUUUGACAAGCAAGAAAGGUCUUCCUCGACGCUACAAGCUAAGGCCUGAGGAUCCAAGGCGUUACGGUUUGCUGUCCAGAGUCCCUGCACCAUCAACAGAGGAACUUCUACAACACCUACGGACUUGCGGUGAUGGUAAAACUUUGCCACAGACAUAGGUGUUGGGGGAGGCAAGAGAAAACCCAAAACAUUAUUUUUGUGUUUCCUGUUAAGGUUAGGG